rnacentral:rRNA from 1 species
CUGUAGCGUACAGGUGCGGCUGUCCGUCGGCGUCGCUCGCUCAAAGUUCCUUUGAGUGGGACCAUAAUCCUGAGAAGGUGCAAGACCUGUUCGGGUGGCGACGUUGGCGGUUGGUCGUUCCUUGGAGUCGGGUAGCCUGAGAACGCUGCCUUAAGCGGGUGGUAAACUUCAUCUAAGGCUGAAUACGGCUUCGAGACCGAUAGCAAACAAGUACCGUGAGGGAAAGUUGCAAAGAACUUUGAAGAGAGAGUUCAAGAGUGCGUGAAACCACUGGAAUGGAAACAGACAGAGUUGACGAAACUCGUCGAUAUUCAGCUGAGCCUUCGGGCACGGUGUACUUGUCGGCGGUAUGCGCUGAGUCCGCUGUUGGUGUGCGUUGAGCGUCGCGGUGUUGCCCACUUGUGGUGUCUUGCCGCGGCGGGAGGCGUAUCGUCGGUAGCGCGAUUCGGUGUAGGCGUUGAUCACCUGUCUGACCCGUCUUGAAACACGGACCAAGGAGUCUACCGCAUGCGCGAGUCAUUGGGUUGUAAACCUAGAGGCGCAAUGAAAGUAAAGGUCGGCGUUCGCUCGGCUGAUAUGGGAUGCGUGUGCUUGUCAUGCGCCGCACCAUAGCCCCGUCUCGACGGCUUGCCGUGGGGCGGAGGUAGAGCGUAUGUGGUAGGACCCGAAAGAUGGUGAACUAUACGUGAGCAGGGCGAAGCCGGAGGAAACUCCGGUGGAGGUCCGUAACGAUUCUGACGUGCAAAUCGAUCGUCUGACUUGCGUAUAGGGGCGAAAGACUAAUCG